GAGCGACAAAAUCACACUUUUUUUUUUUUUCCCUCAAAAACUCAUGUGGGACCUAGGGGAAGCUGACCACUCGCAUGGCGAUUAGGUUUACAGCGUCACAGACAAACAGCACCGUCCGCCGACUUCCAAAAUCUCCCCUCGAUCUCUCGUAAAACCGAGAAAACAACGGAGCUUCAAUGAACAGAGAGAGUGAGAGACAGAGGAAGCGUGUGUAUGAGUGGGGGUGAGCAAUUUUGUGAUUCAAUUGAUUACCAUGGAGCCAAGGGGUGUUCCUCAUCUACCAGCUCGGGUGCCGGUCCCACUUUCUUCUCUAAAGCUAGGCUAUGAAGGCUGGCGAUUGAAAUCCGUGUCCUCUCGUUGUUCAAAGUUGCUCGGUGCAGAACACUCUUGUACCUUCCAUUGCUCAUCACUUCGAUUUGAUCUCCCAACUGGACUAGUAGUGCCCCUUCAAUGACCGGAAUCAGGUACCAGUUGUUAUCAUUGUCCAUGAUUUGGAGUCCUGGUUGGCUUUGGAUUAAGAUUGUGAGGUAGCCAUAGUCGGAGUGAGGUGGCAUUCCAAGGGCAAGGUCUGGUUCAGGACAAGCCGGGUAGCAGUUCACAGCCAUGACUUGGGAGCCUUCUUCGAUUUCUUCAUGUAAGUAAUCUGUUUUUAGCCCUAAGCUCUCAAGAACUACUUCCAUUAGUUGCUUUUGUACUGCUUGCGUGGCCUUUGCAUAGUUUCCCAUUUUCUCCCUGUGAAAAAAACACAAUUGUUCUAGAAAAAUGAUUCAUUGAACUAAAUUUCAUAGUUUGUUGAAAUUAUGUGCUGUAAUGGUAGGUUUCUAAUUUGAUAGGGAAGUACCACGUCUGAUACAUUAUUCUGUCUGAAAUGUUCGAAGAAUAUCUGUGUAUAUACCACUAACUUUAGUACUCCGUAUAUUGGUCGUUGCAAUGUCUUUUCCAUAAUUUUAAAGUAAAUCACAUACAUUGAUUAGUAAAAUUAUCACACGUUCACGUUAUAGAAAACAUGGCAUUUCCUUUUAGAAAAACCUACUUGUAGCUUGGGGGGUUCGAAGGCCACAGAUGGAUCCAGGUGGAGAUGGGAUAGGAGUAAUGCUUGAUGAAGUCUCUCCAAAAAUGGACUUUGUCAGCAACGUGAUUCAUACUUGUGCCAUACCUUAUGGGCUUAUGAACAUCAGCCGAUGCGAGAUGCAUCUUCUCCUCACUAGGCAAGUUAAAGAACUCUGUUGCAGUGUCUAUGGCACCAUUAAUGAACGUCGAGGGAAUCCCAUGGUUAAUCACCUGUUAACAUGCAAGCUUUUACGUAGUUCAGACGAUAAUAUUGCAUUAAUGCAUGCAUGCAAGUAGAUUCGACAUGAUAUAGUGGAGUAUUCGUUAACUUGGUAUGCUUUUUUUAAGAUCAUAAUCACCACAAUCACUCUAGUUAGGGCUGUAGAAGGAAAAACAGUACGUGUUGAUGAUAUAAAUAGUUGCCAUCCUCAAACAACUUGACUUACUUGGAGUAUGAUACAAGUUUCUUCUAUCUCUUCAAUAAACGAACCUCUCUCCUUAUGCUCUAACCUCAAACGGAAAUUUCAACAUAAGGUAUUUACAGUACGAUAGUAAAGAUACUAGUAGAUAUAAUAAAAAAGUGAUUAGUAUAUUUAAGCUUUCCUGGUUUCCCCUAUAUUUGUAUUUGGAAAGGUAACGUAAUGGGCUGCUUGUUGGAUCCGUACCCUAUCAGACUGUGAUGAAGAAAAGAAAAGGAAUACUAGGGAAAGAGAAGUUUGAAGACGUAUGAAUCAGGUGCAAACUCUAUCACGGCUCCGUCUCCGGCAACUCAUUCAAUAGUCCAAUCUCUGUCCAUUGCGAAAGAGAAAGCAGUACAAGCUGAUACGGGAAGGGCCAGCUAUCGUCUCAUCAGAGGGCUCAAUCCAUAGUGAACUAGGAGGCAGAAAGCGUGUAUCCGGAAUAGAAGAAAGCAAAAGGCAGAAACAUCUUCUUAGAACAGCACAGACGGGUCUCAGCGAGGAGACGGCACUCAAAUUUAAUCCCAAAGCGCGACUACGACUCUUGAUGAAUUUUUUCACUAAAAAGCGUUUCCACCUGCCUCCGCCCUGGCACUCGUAAAGCUAUGAUCUAGUUUAGGUUUCUGUAGUAUCUUUCGUGCAGUUUUUGCUCUUUUGGAAUUGGAUAGUUGUAUCCAGAGCCAGAAACAUUAAUAAAAAACCUUGUUUUCUCAUUUGUCAUUUCUAAUGCAUGGCAGGGAAUAUCAUGGGCAUCAUGGUAACUAUGUAAAGGAUACCUGGAAGAAACCAAGUUCCUUGCAGGCCAAGCGGAUUUCGUCAAUGACCCAAGGCCUAAGAGAAGGUUUGUGGAGAGACGCAAUAUCUAUAACGGGUAGGGUGGUGGAGGGGUUCAAGCGGAGGGUAGGUAUGGUUUGGUCGUUCCAGGGGAGGCAGAACGAAACGUUCGGGGACUUGGGGUACCCCUAUUUGGUUUAGUGUCAUUGCACUAGUAAAUGAAUUUGUUUCUGAGAGCUCUCUCUCAUCUUCCAUUGAUCUCUCUCUCACCUCUUCCAUUCUCUUUCUUCUUCUUCUCUAGUGAACUAUACCUGGAGUUCUAGCUACUGGCCUGCCCCUUUUUAUAGCAAGAAACUAUUACAUGAUAUUUGGGUUUUCUUUAUGAAAACUUUCUUCUAGUUGCAAUGUGUGGGAACUAGUGUUAACAUUGUAGUAUAGUGAAUGCCUACAUAUUUGAGGAGUAAUCCAAAAGAGCUUUGUUCAUAGAUGUAGAGAAAGAAUAGACUCAUGGUUUGUGGGUUCAGAGGCCCACAAAACCUUUUUCCCUAUGGAUGAUCUGGCAAUUUCUCAUGCAGAAACAAUCUGGGUGAUGUUGGGACUUGGGACAGUGUAUCUGUUCAGUGUCCCUUUAUUUAUAAUAAGAGAAAGGUCAUUUCUGUAGCCUUGCUAGCCUUUUGGACCCCUAUGCCUAACAAAGCUGAUCCGUGUUGAAAUUUUGCAACAGGAGGAGGACAAAUAUAGACGGACAAUUAGACAAAGCUUUCGGUAAUGGUAUUGCAAAACCAGGUUCAAUGGAAAACCUGGGACUUAAAAGGAGGACAAAUUGCCAUAACCACCUUGUCAAAUAACACAAUCGUCUUGAUGUAAUUGCCAUAACCACCCUCGAGGUUUUUGCAAAUUUUUGAUUGCCCUCUUAUAUUUGGGAAAUUAACAAAAUACCCCCUUCCUCUUGACAAAUUACUCACUUGUCUUGAUGUACCAGAAAGGAAAUUCAACGAAAUUUGUCUGACAUCAUUCUAUCUUAAUUAUAUUCCCUUCGUCCAUUUUUAAGUGUUAUGCUUUGUAACUUCAACUUAUUAAGAAAACAUCAUCAUUACACCUUUCACAUCAACUUUUACCUUCACUUUUCCUACUUAUUCUCUAUGGAGACAUCAUCAUUACACUUUUACUAAUUUGAAGACGUAUGAAUCAGGUGCAAACUCUAUCAUGGCUCCGUCUCCGGCAAUUCAUUCAAUAGUCCAAUCUCUGUCCAUUGUGAAAGAGAAAGCAGUACAAGCUGAUACGGGAAGGGCCAGAUAUCGUCUCAUCGGAGGGCUCAAUCCAUAGUGAACUAGGAGGCAGAAAGCGUGUAUCCGGAAUAGAAGAAAGCCAUAGGCAGAAACAUCUUCUUAGAACAGCACAGACGGGACUCAGCGAGGAGACGGUACUCAAAUUCAAUCCCAAAGCGCGACUACGACGCUUGAUGAAUUUUUUCACUAAAAAGCGUUUCCACCUGCCUCCGCCCUGGCACUCGUAAAGCUAUGAUCUAGUUUAGGUUUCUGUAGUAUCUUUCGUGCAGUUUUUGCUCUUUUGGAAUUUGAUAGUUGUAUCCAGAGCCAGAAACAUUAAUAAAAAACCUUGUUUUCUCA